rnacentral:misc_RNA from 1 species
GCGUUGCCUCGCCUUAUUAUCUGCCCACACAGCCGCACCGAAAAUACAUUCCAGGCCAUUCCUUACCACUUUGAAUCGCGUUCAGUUGCGUCGAAUUGCGCCGCGCUUGCGUACGCCGCGAUCCUUAUUUGCACGCACUCACGGAUUCUCCGCGGGUGUCUAGUUGCGACUCGAUGGAACACGACUAAACGCUUUGCUGAAAGAAUAGGAUUCCGACGCUGACAGCGAUUCUAGCGUUGCAUGUAAUUCCGUGAUCAGUUCUUCAACUGAGCUCUUCGACGUCCUUUCAACGAGGAAACGCUUUGAUUUCGUUAAAUUUUCCUCGCCUUUGUUUCUAUCUCGAUCAGCGAACUAUAAAUUAUCAAUGAUAAAUUAUCGGUUGCAACAAAUUAUAAAUAACUUAAUCUUCAGAAGGUGAAGUACGACUAACGAGUGCUUUUCAAGCUCAGAAAACUGCAACGAUGAAAACGAUUAUCUUGUUUUAGUCGUCAUACUGUCGUUACCUUCUCUAUCAAAACAGUCAUCGUGAUUUAAUCGCAGGAAGAUCAACGCGAAGGCUUGUCAACGCGAUCUCACAUCAAUUUGUUAUGGAUGGCGUCGAUUUCCCAGGAAAGAAACCGAGAGAGAAACAUAAAGAGUGGCGGUUAAUCGC